UACGUAGGUGGCAAGCGUUGUCCGGAUUUACUGGGCGUAAAGAGCGCGCAGGCGGUCGAUCAAGUCGCGUGUGAAAGCCCCCGGCUCAACUGGGAGGGGUCAUUCGAUACUGGCGGGCUCGAGGCCGGUAGGGGGAAGUGGAAUUCCGGGUGUAGUGGUGGAAUGCGUAGAGAUCCGGAGGAACACCAGCGGCGAAGGCGGCAUCCUGGACUGGUCCUGACACUCAGGAGCGAAAGCGUGGGGAGCGAUCCGG
rnacentral:rRNA from 1 species